rnacentral:lncRNA from 1 species
GUUUUGCAUACUUUAUCCCCAUGUCAUAAUUUAACACUACAUUCCUUGUUUUUCUUAAAUAAAAUAACUUUGCGGGUUCUGUUUUUGAGUAUUUAGCAAGUUAUUUUCUAAGCUGCCCUGGUUUUCCUAGGGAAAACGUUCUUAGGUGAAAUAGGAUAUAGUUUAUGAAAAGACAUUAAAUGAAAUCCCAUCACCACCACCAGCAAACACUGAGGUGCUGCAUUAAGUGACAAUCAAAAUAGUAUUUAUAGGAGAAUUGAGAAAAGGGUUUUUAAAGAAGCAGUUGCUUUGAAAGUAGUUGUCUGGGUUUCUUGAAUAAAAAUGGCUAAAUGAACUUAGUUAAGAAAAAGUAAAAGUAACGCCAACUGUUUUCUAGUUUCACUUGCUGCCUUUUCUAUUUAAUGGGCACUUUUUAUAUAACUUCCCCAACGCAGCCAAAGGCCAGUAUGACAGAACCCAUGGCACACGUUGCCUGUUUUGCCCAUUUGGAAAAUGUUAUUAAAACAAGCAGCAUCUUCUAAUGGCCAUCACUCAUAUUAAAAUCCAUCUAAAGUCCUUAAAUAUAGGUGGAACAAUGUAUAAAUACUGCAGACUCUUCUAC